rnacentral:rRNA from 1 species
GAGCCUGAGAAACGGCUACCACAUCYAAGGAAGGCAGCAGGCGCGUAAAUUGCCCAAUGCUAACACAGUGAGGCAGCGAAAAACAAUAACGGUAGCGGGGCUUUCUAGUUUUGCUAACCGGAAUGAGUACAAUUUAAAYACCUUAACGAGGAUCCAGUGCAGGGCAAGUCUGGUGC